CGGCCGCAAGGUUAAAACUCAAAUGAAUUGACGGGGGCCCGCACAAGCGGUGGAGCAUGUGGUUUAAUUCGAUGCAACGCGAAGAACCUUACCAAGUCUUGACAUCCUGCGAAUUUUCUAGAGAUAGAUUAGUGCCUUCGGGAGCGCGGUGACAGGUGCUGCAUGGCUGUCGUCAGCUCGUGUUGUGAAAUGUUGGGUUAAGUCCCGUAACGAGCGCAACCCUUGUCCUUAGUUGCUAGCAGGUUAAGCUGAGAACUCUAAGGAGACUGCCGGUGACAAACCGGAGGAAGGUGGGGACGACGUCAAGUCAUCAUGGCCCUUACGACUUGGGCUACACACGUGCUACAAUGGCCAGUACAAAGGGUUGCCAAGCCGCGAGGUGGAGCUAAUCUCAUAAAACUGGUCGUAGUCCGGAUUGGUGUCUGCAACUCGACUCCAUGAAGUCGGAAUCGCUAGUAAUCGUGAAUCAGAAUGUCACGGUGAAUACGUUCCCGGGCCUUGUACACACCGCCCGUCACACCAUGGGAGUGGGUUGCUCCAGAAGUGGCUAGUCCAACCUUCGGGGGGACGGUCACCACGGAGUGAUUCAUGACUGGGGUG
rnacentral:rRNA from 1 species